AUACAUCUCACUUCUGGGGCUGGACAACUACUUUGCGACACUGGUUUGAGCUGUGUGGCCUGGGAAACGUGGAUAACUGAAGCUGCCCUGGCACGGCAGAGCUUGGACGUUUGACAGACAAUCACUGGCAAAGAGACCGUGGGCUUUGGGAGCACAUGUUGUAAACAGACCCCUGUUUGUGAAAGUGCUUGUGGAAGGUCUUACAUUCGGCUUCCUGCGUACAAUGAGUGACUUAGGCUUCAGAACCCUGGACCAAUCCAAGGCAUCAUACAUUCCCAAAGGCUCAGUAGGUCUCUCCUUUUCACUGGAUUCAUCAGUGGCUUGCUGAGUUUUGUUCUGGCUAAAGUGUUCACAUAAAUGAGGUCACCAGGCAUGUUCUGAAGCGGUGGAAAGACUCCUGUGAAGAAAUCAACAGAAACUGGAUUUGUUCCUGUUAAUGAAAUUUCAAAAUCUACGCCAGAUCUACGUACAAAUCAUGGACUUGAACUAUGUCCUAGAACAGCAUAAAAAGAGGAAAGGUUUUAGGUAGAAAUAUAGCACUUCCAUGCUGGAUAUAGAAUUUCAUAUCGGAAGCCUUAAAGUUACAAGCUUAUCACAAUAUUUUCAGUGUUGAAUGAUUAUGUGAAUAAAAUGGUGAAUUUAUUGUUUCGUUUCUGAAAGAAACUAUUUUACAUCAUUUAUACACUUUAGGUAAGGUCAAUUUUGUGUGUGUGUUUUAUGUCUUUGGGAGAAGGCAUUUCUAAUGAAAACGAAAUUCACAAGGAGAACUCCAUAAGCCCAGGUUCCAAGAAGCCCAGCCUAUGCGCUACAGCUUUAAAACAGCAUGCUUGACGGUGUUUUUCAGGUUUGAUUACAUCCUGUGAUCUGCAUUGUUGAUCUUCAAACAGACAGAAAAAGUGGAGAGGCAUGUUGGAAUUUCAGCAUAAACUCCAUAGUGUAGUGAAGAAAGACUGUUAUUAUACAGACUUAUUUUUUUCAUAAUGCAAAUUAUGGAAGUUAAAGUUUGAGAAAAUCCUUUUGGCUAGUGGGGAUAUUUGCAAAGGUCAGAGAGGAGCAGUAUGAGCUAAUUAAAAGAAAAAAAUAAAGAUUGAGAAGCUCUCUAAAUAUUAGAUAUUUUAUCUACUAAAAAAGGAACUUAGGUAAAGAAAAUAAUCAUAUAAAAGAAUAAAAUAUGAUACAAACUGAUGGAAACUUAACUCAUAUCUGACAUAAAAACUCCUCACCAACAUUGUGUUAGAAAACUUCUGAUAGACUGUGGU
rnacentral:lncRNA from 1 species